rnacentral:rRNA from 1 species
UCAAUGGAGAGUUUGAUCCUGGCUCAGGACGAACGCUGGCGGCGUGCUUAACACAUGCAAGUCGAACGGUGACGAUGGGAGCUUGCUCCUGUCUGAUCAGUGGCGAACGGGUGAGUAACACGUGAGU